rnacentral:tRNA from 1 species
UUUCCUUUAGCUUAAGUUAAAAGCGUUAGUUUGAAGCACUAGAGUUAACAAUUUUGUUAAGGGGGU